ACAACAAAUAAAAAAUAACUCUCCUACUUUCUCCUGAAGCAGGAGGAUUGCAAGUUUGAGACCAACUUGGCAACUCCAUGAGAUCCUUAGCAACUUAGUAAGACCCUUCCUGAAUAUAAAGUGCCCCUUGGUUUAAUCUCUAGUACCACAAAAAACAAUUGUGAGUGUUAUAGGUAUUUGGAAAAAAUUUCUUAAAGAGUGGCAUUUGAAUUGAUUUUAGAGAGAUGACUGUUUUCAGCAGAUCAAGGAUGGAAGGAAGGAUUUUAUGGGUUAAUUAAUUAAUUUAAGUUGACACAGGUGGAAUAGCAUAGAACAUAUUUGGAAGAUGACUGGAAGUCUAUGUUGGUAAUAAUGUGGGAUGAGAGGGUUUAAUUGAAGAUGAUGCUAUGUCUAAUGUGUUAAGGAAUUUGGACUCUUAUUUUGUGAGUGGUUGAAAGCACUUGAAGUCAUUUUAUUCUAUCAGAGCUGAUAUCAUCCAGUUUGUAUUUUUGGGAGGUUACCCUAGGUUGACUAAGAAGUGGUUGGUGUGAUGGUAGUUAGGAGCAUGAUAUUGGGAGUCAUUUCUCCUGGGUCACCUCCUGGCUAUCUCACCCUGGCUAAUUUAGGUAAUCUGACCAAUCCUGAGAUUACUCAUCUGCAAAAUGAGAAUAAUGAUAGUACCUACCUUCUAGACCUGCUAU
rnacentral:lncRNA from 1 species